rnacentral:rRNA from 1 species
UACAGAGGUCUCAAGCGUUGUUCGGAUUCAUUGGGCGUAAAGGGUGCGUAGGUGGCGCGGUAAGUCGGGUGUGAAAUUUCGGAGCUUAACUCCGAAACUGCAUUCGAUACUGCCGUGCUUGAGGACUGGAGAGGAGACUGGAAUUUACGGUGUAGCAGUGAAAUGCGUAGAGAUCGUAAGGGAGACCAGUGGCGAAGGCGGGUCUCUGGACAGUUCCUGACACUGAGGCACGAAGGCCAGGGGAGCAAACGGG